rnacentral:rRNA from 1 species
AUUGAACGCUGGCGGCAGGCUUAACACAUGCAAGUCGAGCGGAGCGAGGGUGCUUGCACCUUAGCUUAGCGGCGGACGGGUGAGUAAUGCUUAGGAAUCUGCCUAUUAGUGGGGGACAACAUUCCGAAAGGAAUGCUAAUACCGCAUACGCCCUACGGGGGAAAGCAGGGGAUCUUCGGACCUUGCGCUAAUAGAUGAGCCUCGGUCGGAUUAGCUAGUUGGUGGGGUAAAGGCCCACCAAGGCGACGAUCUGUAGCGGGUCUGAGAGGAUGAUCAGCCACACUGGGACUGAGACACGGCCCAGACUCCUACGGGAGGCAGCAGUGGGGAAUAUUGGACAAUGGGCGGAAGCCUGAUCCAGCCAUGCCGCGUGUGUGAAGAAGGCCUUUUGGUUGUAAAGCACUUUAAGCGAGGAGGAGGCUACUUAGAUUAAUACUCUGGGAUAGUGGACGUUACUCGCAGAAUAAGCACCGGCUAACUCUGUGCCAGCCGCCGCCGUAAUAC